rnacentral:rRNA from 1 species
UGCCAGCCGCCGCGGUAAUACGGAGGGUGCAAGGGUUAUUCGGAAUCACUGGGCGUAAAGGGUAUGUAGGCGGGUUCAUAAGUCAGAUGUGAAAUCCUAUGGCUCAACCAUAGAACUGCAUUUGAAACUGUGAACCUAGAGUAUGGAAGGGGCAGAUGGAAUUAGUGGUGUAGGGGUAAAAUCCGUAGAGAUCACUAGGAAUACCGAAAGCGAAGGCGAUCUGCUGGUACAUUACUGACGCUAAGAUACGAAAGCGUGGGGAGCAAACAGGAUUAGAUA